GACGAACGCUGGCGGCGUGCUUAACACAUGCAAGUCGAACGGUGAAGCUCCAGCUUGCUGGAGUGGAUCAGUGGCGAACGGGUGAGUAACACGUGAGCAACCUGCCCCUGACUCUGGAAUAAGCGCUGGAAACGGCGUCUAAUACUGGAUACGAGAAGGGUCCGCAUGGGCACUUUCUGGAAAGUUUUUCGGUUGGGGAUGGGCUCGCGGCCUAUCAGCUUGUUGGUGAGGUAAUGGCUCACCAAGGCGACGACGGGUAGCCGGCCUGAGAGGGCGACCGGCCACACUGGGACUGAGACACGGCCCAGACUCCUACGGGAGGCAGCAGUGGGGAAUAUUGCACAAUGGGCGAAAGCCGGAUGCAGCGACGCCGCGUGAGGGAUGACGGCCUUCGGGUUGUAAACAUCUUUCAGCAGGGAAGAAGCGAAAGUGACGGUACCUGCAGAAGAAGCACCGGCUAACUACGU
rnacentral:rRNA from 1 species